rnacentral:tRNA from 1 species
GUAUUUGUGGUUCAGUGGUAGAAUUCUCACCUUCUAUGCUUGAGGUCUGGGUUUGAGUCCCAGCCAAUGCA